AAAUACCACACAUUGGAUCACACUGUACUUAUACACUCUCCUCUCACCUCCUACCAGGACAAGCAGACACCAUGAAUAAGCCAGCUGUAACAGUGCCUCUGUUGGCCACCACUCUGUUGCUGUUGCUGGCACUGGCUUUACCAGCUGUUACCACGGCUUAUCCACAAGUCCAGCCAGAUGGUGCUAAUUACCCGGCUUCCUCAGAGAACAGGUGUCCGUUCGUGUGUAAAGCCGUGUACGAACCCGUGUGCGGCUCCGACGGCCAGACCUACGACAGCCUGUGUGAACUGAAGUUAGCGCAGUGUGACGAUGACUCUCUCCAGCCGGCCUACGACGGUCUCUGCGCUGACGACGACGAUGAUUAGGUUCCUCUGUAGUUAUCCCAGGAGACAGAGACGGUACUGGGAGACUUAUACAUGUAUUGUUGUUGUGCUGCUGUGUUUACCAACCCACCAGCCAGUCUGGCCACUGCUGGCGUCUUCAUCGUUCUCUUGUGAAUUUUAAAUCAUUCUACUGUCAGUUUAGACGUUCUUUUGAAAUUUUAAGUCAUUCUACUGUCAGUUUAGACGUUCUAUUUAAAUUUUAAGUCAUUCUACUGUCAGUUUAGACGUUCUAUUCAAAUUUUUAAGUCAUUUCUACUGUCAGUUUAGACGUUCUAUUCAAAUUUUAAGUCAUUCUACUGUCAGUUUAGACGUUCUAUUCAAAUUUUAAGUCAUUCUACUGUCAGUUUAGACGUUCUACUCAAAUUUUAAGUCAUUCUACUGUCAGUUUAGACGUUCUACUCAAAUUUUAAGUCA